rnacentral:rRNA from 1 species
GACGAACGCUGGCGGCGUGCUUAACACAUGCAAGUCGAACGGAAAGGCCCUGCUUUUGUGGGGUGCUCGAGUGGCGAACGGGUGAGUAACACGUGAGUAACCUGCCCUUGACUUUGGGGUAACUUCAGGAAACUGGGGCUAAUACCGGAUAGGAGCUCCUGCUGCAUGGUGGGGGUUGGAAAGUUUCGGCGGUUGGGGAUGGACUCGCGGCUUAUCAGCUUGUUGGUGGGGUAGUGGCUUACCAAGGCUUUGACGGGUAGCCGGCCUGAGAGGGUGACCGGCCACAUUGGGACUGCGAUACGGCCCAGACUCCUACGGGAGGCAGCAGUGGGGAAUAUUGCACAAUGGGAGGAAGCCUGAUGCAGCAACGCCGCGUGCGGGAUGACGGCCUUCGGGUUGUAAACCGCUUUCGCCUGUGACGAAGCGUGAGUGACGGUACUGGGUAAAGAAGCACCGGCUAACUACGUG